GAGGGAGGGACGGGGGCUGUGC
rnacentral:miRNA from 2 species